rnacentral:rRNA from 1 species
GAUGAACGCUGGCGGCGUGCCUAAUACAUGCAAGUCGAGCGAACAGAUGAGGAGCUUGCUCCUCUGACGUUAGCGGCGGACGGGUGAGUAACACGUGGAUAACCUACCUAUAAGACUGGGAUAACUUCGGGAAACCGGAGCUAAUACCGGAUAAUAUAUUGAACCGCAUGGUUCAAUAGUGAAAGACGGUUUUGCUGUCACUUAUAGAUGGAUCCGCGCCGCAUUAGCUAGUUGGUAAGGUAACGGCUUACCACGGCAACGAUGCGUAGCCGACCUGAGAGGGUGAUCGGCCACACUGGAACUGAGACACGGUCCAGACUCCUACGGGAGGCAGCAGUAGGGAAUCUUCCGCAAAGGGCGAAAGCCUGACGGAGCAACGCCGCGGGAGUGAUGAAGGUCUUCGGAUCGUAAAACUCUGUUAUUAGGGAAGAACAAAUGUGUAAGUAACUAUGCACGUCUUGACGGUACCUAAUCAGAAAGCCACGGCUAACUACGUG